rnacentral:lncRNA from 1 species
GCAAAUAAAGGACAAAAUGCAUAGCAAUAUCCUGCCAAAUAUCAUUAGGAACUGGUAAAGGCAUGUAGAAUCUAGUGUUUUGUUCCUAUCCCUUCGAAACCUAACAAAUAUAACAUUUGUGCAUAAUUGUUCCAACAUCACGCAUCAAUUGUGGCUAAUAAAAUAUGUGCACAAUUGUUCCAACACCAUGCUUCAAUUGUGGCCAAUAAAAUCUCCCCUCUAAUCCUGCUACUGUUUUAUCACGGCCUAAAUGGCCACUCAACCCUCCUCAGUGCAAAUCCCGAAUGAGCUUCUCCUUUAAGGAGGAAACAGGAAUGCAUAACUGGUUGCCCUUGAACAAAUACCCUUCAUUAAGAAAGAAAUCUGCC